AUGAGUAAUAAAUGUUCCAUGUUAAGUACAGCUGAAGAUGACAUAAGACAGAAUUUUACACAGCUACCUCUACAUAAAAACAAACAGGAAUGCAUUCUUGACAUUUCCGAACACACAUUAAGUGAAAAUGACUUACAAGAACUAAGGAUAGAUAACUAUAAAUGUAACAUACAGGCAUCUGUUCAUGUUUCUGAUUUCUGUACAGAUAAUAGUGCAUCUCAACCAAAACAAAAGUCAGAUCCUGUGCUUUUUCCAGCAAAGGAUCUCAAGGAAAAGGACCUUCAUUCAAUAUUUACUCAUGAUUCUGGUCUGAUAACAAUAAACAGUUCACAAGAGCACCUAACUGUUCAGGCAAAGGCUCCAUCACAUACUCCUCCUGAGGAACCCAAUGAAUGUGACAUCAAGAAUAUGGAUAGUUUACCUUCUGGUAAAAUACAUCGAAAAGUGAAAAUAUUAUUAGGACAAAAUAGAAAAGAAAAUCUGGAACCAAAUGCUGAAUUUGAUAAAAGAACUGAAUUUAUUACACAAGAAGAAAACAGAAUUUGUAGAUCACCGGUACAGUCUUUACCAGACUUGUUUCAGACUAGUGAAGAGAAAUCAGAAUUUUUGGGUUUCACAAGCUAUACAGAAAAGAGUGGUAUAUGCAAUGUUUUAGAUAUUUGGGAAGAGGAAAAUUCAGAUAAUCUGUUAACAGUGUUUUUCUCGUCCCCUUCAACUUCUACAUUUACUGGCUUUUAG
rnacentral:lncRNA from 1 species